GACGAACGCUGGCGGCGUGCUUAACACAUGCAAGUCGAACGGAAAGGCCCUGCUUUUGUGGGGUGCUCGAGUGGCGAACGGGUGAGUAACACGUGAGUAACCUGCCCUUGACUUUGGGAUAACUUCAGGAAACUGGGGCUAAUACCGGAUAGGAGCUCCUGCUGCAUGGUGGGGGUUGGAAAGUUUCGGCGGUUGGGGAUGGACUCGCGGCUUAUCAGCUUGUUGGUGGGGUAGUGGCUUACCAAGGCUUUGACGGGUAGCCGGCCUGAGAGGGUGACCGGCCACAUUGGGACUGAGAUACGGCCCAGACCCCUACGGGAGGCAGCAGUGGGGAAUAUUGCACAAUGGGCGGAAGCCUGAUGCAGCAACGCCGCGUGCGGGAUGACGGCCUUCGGGUUGUAAACCGCUUUCGCCUGUGACGAAGCGUGAGUGACGGUAAUGGGUAAAGAAGCACCGACUAACUACGUG
rnacentral:rRNA from 1 species